GUCAGUGGAAGCUGGGUUGUCGGCGGGCGGCCGCGGCCGGGUCUAGCGGUGCCUGCGGAAGGAGGAGGAGGAGGAGGGCUGGCGAUGAGAACCAGCAGGAGGAAUCAAGGGCAAGGAGGGACCCAGAGGGGCAGGUGGCUGAGAUGCUGGCGUCCAGGUGACCCGAAGAAUCCUCUGGAGAGAGGCCCGCGCAUGCGCGUGCUCGAGCGCUGAAGCCCAUUGCCCGCAGGGCGGUGGACUGGCGCCCCGGCCGGCGAGGCUGUCUCGUCCAGGCUCAAGGCCCCGGCUCUGGCCAGGCGCCACCACCUCCCGGUGCAGCUGAAAGUCGACGAAGAGGGCGGGGCGAGGGCGGCUUGUGGACUUCCACACUUUUCCUCUCUUCGGGCCAGUCCGGGGAGAGGGUGGCUAGCUGUGGCGGCGGCCAAUUACGUGGCGGACCUGCGGGGCUAAGCUGGCACGUCACUUCCGACUAGUGGAGUUUUUAGCCUUUUAACAUUCAAGGAUUAGGUAAGUUCUCCCCGCGGUAGACUUCAGAUACUCUUUGUCCUGCCCCUGCUUGGCGAAAUUUACCGAAAUUAUCUACCUAUCCCGCUGGAGUGGGAGCCGGGAGAGAGCUGGAACCGCGUCUCUGCUGCUCACCUUUGUAUCCUUAGCUCCUUCGCGUGGGGUCCGACCGCAACACGUGCGCUGAAUAAACGCUUGUUAACUGGGUGAGAGCCAAGGCCUGUUCUUUCCACUUCUGGGGCUGUGACUUGAGUUUCUCCGCAGGAGCAGAUAGUGUUUGUGAAGGGACUGCGGACUGAUGCAUUACAGCCUCCCUGCUUUGCUCGCCUGAUGCUGGAAGCUUAGCAGUAGAGACAGCGUUUCACAAUGUUGGCCAGGCUGGUCUCCAAUUCCUGACCUCCGGUGAUCCACCCACCUUGGCCGCUCAAAGUGGCUCAUCUGAUCAUGUGGCCCCCACCCAGGAACUGACUCAGUGCAGGAAGACGGUUUUGACUCCCUACGAUUUCAUCCCUGACCAAUCAGCACUCCUGGUUCACUGGCUUCCCCCCCACCCACCAAGUUAUCUUUUAAAACUCUGCUCCCCUGUGCUCGGGGAGACUGAUCUCCCACACAGCUGGUUCUGCGUGAAUUACUCUUUCUCUAUCACAAUUUCCCUGUCUCGAUGAAUUGACUCUGCCUAGGCAGGGGCAAGGUGAACCCCUUAGGCGGUAACAGAACACUGCAGAAGAGUGCAGUGGGGCGCCUCAGCAAGAGGACUGAGUGUGCUGCCGUGGAUUUUUCUUUAGAGGUAUUUAUGGACCUUAAGGCAGGAGCUUAGGAUAGUAAAAUGAGUUUCGGCAUGGCAUUUCAGAGAUGUGUAGAAAUUUUAGUUACUUCUAAAAGUUGAAAGAGGCCUGGAACCAGACUUUAGAUACUAGGAAAGUUUAAUUACUUCUGAAUUCCCAGAAAAGGAGUUUCACCUACGUCUGGCCCGCCUACGUCUGGCCCGCCUACGUCUGGCCCGCCUACGUCUGGCCCGUUUGGUGGUCACCAGGUGGUCUUUGUUCCCUUUGAAAUUCCUCAGAUAAGGAGCUUUUGUCUGUAGGGCCUAUUCAAUGGUCAACAGGUGAUCAACCUCAUGGUCAAGCUCAGUAAGGUUGCACUUAUUUUUAUCCACACCAGCAUAUCAUGAAAUACGGUAGUCCUCACCUUAUCCUCGGUUUCAUUUCUCAAGGUUUCAUUACUCUUGGCAACCACAAUCUGAACAUUUUAAGUGGAAAAUAUCAGAAAUAAUUCCUAAGUUUUAAAUUGGCACCUAAACAAUUCCUGGUUUAAAUUGGGCACUGCACCAUUCUGAUGAACAUGAUGAAAUCUCAUGCCGUACCACUCCAUCCCUCCCCAGGAUUUGCAUCAUCUCUUUGCCCAGUAUCCACACUGUAUAUGCAACCUGCCUAUUAGUCACUUAAUAGCCUUCUUGGUUAUCAAUUUUACUGCCUAAGUAUCACAGUGCUUAUAUUCAUGGAACUCUUAUUUUACAUGACAGUGGCCCCAAAGUGCAGGAGUACUAAUGGUGGCAACUUGGAUAUACAAAAGAGAAGCCAUAAAGUGCUUCUUUUAAGUGAAAAGGUAAAAGUUCUUGAAAUUUUUAAAUGCUGAGUUUGCUAAGAUCCAUGGUCAGAACAAAUCUUUGUAUCCCUGAAACUAUAAAGAAGGAAAAAGAGCUGGGCGCGGUGGCUCACGCUUGUAAUCCCAGCACUUUGGGAGGCCGAGGCGGGCGGAUCACGAGGUCAGGAGAUCGAGACCACGAUAAAACCCCGUCUCUACUAAAAAUACAAGAAGGAAAAAGAAAUUUUUGCUAGUUUUGCUGUCACACUUCAAAAUGGAAAAGUUGCAGCCACAGUGCAUGUUAAGCACUUAGUUAAGAUAGAGAAGUCAUUAAAAUUGUGGGUGGGAAAUAUCACCAAAAAAAAACUUCCUAUUAACAGCAAUCGGGUUCAGUACUAUCAGUGGUUUCAGACAUCCACUGGGGAUCUUGGAACAUAUCUCCCAAGAAUAAGAGGGAACUACUAUAGUCUGUUUUCCUACAGUGGUGCCAUUCCUGAUAUUUUCAUAUUUUUAAAAAUUUGCUAAUAUUUUUAUUUAUAAUCCUUAAUAAUUCCAUAACAGGUCUUGUUUUGCAGGUAAUGUUUUUAACCUUUUGUCCGUAGAUAGGUGUUUACUUCAUUUCCUAUUGAUACUUAGUUUCCUCUUUUUUUCUGCUACACAGUAUUACAAUAAUAACUUUCUGAACACGUCUUGUGCUGGUAGAUUUUUGUGAAAAAGGUUUCUGGGUUGAAGGAUAUGGCAUGUUUCUAAUUUGAUGGAUGUUGCCAUAUUGCUUUCUCAGUAGCCUGUUAACCUUUACAUUUCCUUACAACAAUGUAUGAUCCUUGUCCAUUCCCACUUGCGCAGCAAAGAUACGUAUUAUGUAUGUUUUUAUUUUUUUCUCAGCCAAUAAAGAGAAGUCUUAGUUACUUUUAAUUAUGUUUUCUCUUCCUUUAGUAAUUUUGAUUAUGUUACUAUUUGCCAUUCAGAUUGUUUUUCUGUGCAUUUUCAAUUCUAUCCUUUGCCCGUUUUUCCUGUUGGAUUGAUUGUUUGGAUCAGUCUGCAUACAUAUGCACACAUGUAUGUGUGCUUGCCCUAUCCGUGUGUCCAUGCAUGCAAACGCACACAUGCACACACACCCCUACCUGUCCUCAUUAAGAAAUCCAUCCUGACCUCUAGAUUCUGAUUUGCUUUCUUCGGUUUUCUUACAAUAUUUUUUAUUCCUUACAUUUAAAUAUUUUUUAAAAAUAUCAUAUAAAAGGAGAAUCUUAAUUUUUCUCCAGAGCAGUGCUGUCCAAUAGAAAUAUAAUGGAAGCAAGCCAGGUGCGGUGGCUCACGUCUGUAAUGCCAGUACUUUGGGAGUCCAAGGCUAACUGCAGCAUCCAAGAUGCAUGGUGAUGAAAUUACAAUUGGAUUGUGUCUGUAUUUCUUCUGGACAACAGGACUUGAAUGCAAAGGCAGCACCAAGCAAAUCUAGAGUGAAGAGUCUCAACAAGUAGCUUAACAAGAUAGUUUCAGGCCAAAGAUGAUGUAUUUAGUGGAAUUUAGAGAAUAUCCCUUUAUUUGAAGUUUUCCUAUAUUGUUGUGCUGGAAAUGCUUCACUGUAUUCAGUCAAUUACAGUGGGUACAUGGAAUUUUGAUAUUGCACCUGAUUUUGUCCCAUAGAACAAUUUAUUCCUCCAACACCUCACUCAGGUGAAAAUUCAAGAAUUUGCAUGGGUAGUCAUUCUGAUGCAUAUCUCCAAGCUUGUAUCUUCCUCCCGCUGACAAUGAUUCGUUAGUCUCUGGCUGUAUCUACAUGUGAUGUGUAAGAUGUCUGACAAAAGUCAGAGAAGCCCGUUGUUGAGUUUUGUCUCCAAAUCUAAGGAUCAGUACUUUUGCCAGAUUGGGCUGCUUCUGUUUGAAAAAGACAAGCAUGGGGGUGGGAGAGAUUGCUGGUUAUCUUCCAACACCUGUCUUCCUCUUUUUCCUGAAUAAAAAAUUUUAGCUGGACACAUGGCUGGCUGAAUACAAGUUACAUUUUUCAGCAUCUCAUGCAACCAGGUAUGGCCACAUGACUGGCCAGUGAGAGUGAGCAGAGAUGGUGUAUGCAGCUUCUGGUUCAUGCCCCUUGCUUUGUCCCACUGUUUGGAGUGCAGUGCAGGUAAAAGUCUCACAGUGAAAAACCUGAGGACCCUUACCACAAGUGUCCUUUGCUCCUAGCUACUGAUACUGGAUUCCACUCGUGAUUCUCCCUUUCUUAGCGCAUUCAUGAUAUAGACGUCAGUCUGUGAGCUGGAGGAGGACAAAGGCAGUGGUCCUGUGAAUUCUAUGCUGUAGCUUGGGUUAAGGGAUUUGGAAUUGCACUUGUUCCAGAGAAAAUCAGUGUUCAGCACUUCUAAUAGCAGGUCUAGUGGAAGCUUGAGAUCAGAACAGAGUUCCAAAAAGAGAAACUGAGGACACACAAGGCAGAGCAGUACCCCCUUAUCCAUGGGGACCUGUCUGACUGGAGAGCUCCCUCUUUGCCCACUAGCAGGGCAUUAGCUGGUGCUGAAGACAGUGGCUGCUUGGUGAGCCUGGAUCUCCAAGUGACUCCAAGUGACCCCCUCAGCAACUCCUGAUGAACAGGACUGAAGCCAAUAUUAAAGCAAGUCAACCAAAGGUUCUCUGGUGUAGACAAGACAGCAAAAGGACAGACGACCUUGUGGAACCUAGCAUUGUUCUCCUUCUGCAGCACUAAGUAACAUUUGUGCUCUGUUAAGAUCUUUGCAAACCACACACAAGAAUUGCUGGUCAUCCUGCCAAUAGAUGCUGCUCACAGAACCAAAUUUCCUGUGCUGAAUUGUCACUCAUGGGCUUGAGAGUAGGAGACUGGAGACCAAGGUGGCUAGAAUCCAGUUGGGCCUGAAGUCUCCCUGUUGAAAGGGCUCCUUGUGGAAUGAACAGCACAUGACUCCCGUGGUGGAUCUGAUAGUGGCACAGCACCAAGUGAUGCAGGCCUGCCAGGGGCCACAGACACAGAAGAUGCUCCCAGGGUCCCCCGUGUACUCCAGACACACUGCAGGCCACCUCUCCCAGCAGGUUCCCAGUCAUGGGCCCCAUCGUCAUGACUUCUGUCCAAGGUGUGCUCAGAAAUCUCUUCCUUAACUGUGACUUUCUGACAGGUGGAGGAUGUGGUCAGGAGUGGGAAAAGGAUUCGAGAUGGGAAGAGGGAGGGGUUCAGAAUGAAGAGAGAUAAUCUGUGCCACAGAUGCUGGCCCUGCAGUUAGCUCCCACCUAGUCCGUGCACACAUAUUCUAAUCCCCUCCCAUUCCUCUACAUGCUGCGGCCAGAGAGGCGUUUCUCAAAGUGGAAGUCUCAUCCUCACUUCUCCGGUUACAGUGCUGGGCCAUGGAUAACUUACAAGGCUUAGCAGGAACUGUCUGCGCACUCCCCCUUCCUGCCCACUACCUUGUUUCCCUCCAGUCGCGAGAGCAAACAUUGAUUGAGCAUUAACUAUGUGCCAGGCUUGUCCUAAGUCCUUCACAUGUAUUCACUCAAACAAUCCUCACAACAUUCCAAUCACAUCUCCCAUUUCACAGUGAGGGUUCUAAAGCACACAGUGGGUGAGGAACUUGUCCAGGGUCACACAACUAAGUAGGGGUGGAGAAACAUCAAAUCUAGGUGGCCCAGGUGGUGGCCAGAACCCAUCAGCACCUCACUACAGCUGCCUCCAGUUUCUCCCUCUAAGAAAUACUCUUCCCUGUCAACUCCUGUUGUCCCCUGGGCUCAGUUGACAUGUCAUCUCCUUGAGGAGGACAUCCUGAGAUGCUCCCCGACUAGGGUGGGCACCCACUUCCACACUCCAAAUGCCUAUUUGACCUAUGUAUUGCUGCAUCCCCACUGCCAGGCAGAUAGCGGGCCCCUAAUAACUAUGAUUUGAGCAAAUAAAUAUGGUUCUUCAAAAAAUAGGGAGGACUCCUUGCUUCUGAUAAUGGUGGGCUAGGACAUUGGACCAACCCUCCUGCAGAAAAUAGCCAUUUAUUUUGAUGCAAUAUACCUGGCUAUGACUAGAGAUUUCAAAUAUUUGGAGGGCUAUUAUGUGAAGAAUUAUACUUACUCUUUGUGACAUAGAGGUCAGAAAUUGGUCGUUUCCAUAGAGGAUGAGAGACACAGAAUUGUGCUCAUCAUAAGUACCUUUUUUAAAAAUUAGACUUAGUAAAAUGGGCUGCCUUGGUAGGUGGUGAGUUCUCUGUCACGAAAGAGAUUCAGCCACUUGCUCUGAGAAAGCAUGGAGAAUAUCAACAUUGUAAGGGUCGACCACCUCAUCUCUGAGGCCCCCUCCUCACUUAGGUUGCCAUUGCAGGUGGAACACUGGGCUGAGUGUCAAAGAACCUGGGUUCCACAAGCUGUGCGAUCAUGGCUGGUUGUUUUGGAUCUCAUUCCUUAUCUGUUAUUUAAGCUCACCCAUCAAUACUGACCCACUUCACAGAGUUAUGAAGGGAUUAAAUUAGGUAUUACAUAUAAAUCUUUGUUUUGUUUGCUUUUUGUUGUUCUUUUUUGUUUUGCUUUUUUCUUUACAUUAUGAAAUCCCAAGUCAACUUUUUCCAUUCUUUUAUUUUUUAAAAAAUUGACAUCAUCAUUAUAACAACAAAAUCAUUUUUAAAAUGAAAAAACUCACCUGCAACCCCACAAUCUAAUACAAUAAUCACACUUUUUUCCCUUUAUUCUCCUUUAUUGUGACCAAGGAUGACUUUGGGCAUUGCUGUGAGGAACUAUUUCGUUUAACACCCUGCCACUUGAACAUGAUUCACACUCAGCCUUUCACCACCCUCCAAGUAGCUACACAUGAUAUGAUAAUAGUAUUGGUGGUGGUUUUAGAGAGUUGGAGAGAAAACUGAAGUUGGAUUUGGGUAAAAGAAAAAAGAGUGGGAAUUAUUUUUUCUCCAUUCUAAAGCCCAUAGAGCAAUGUUAAUUGUUACCACCCCUCUGCUAUUCUGUCUCCUCAGGUACUGUGUGCAGAAAUGUGAUUGAGAUUCAAGUCAGGGCCUCUCUGCCCUUUUCCCUCCAGAAACAAAACCAAGAUAAUUUAUCCAGAACAAGGUGAAAAAAGGAAGGGAGGGAGGAGAAAAAGUCCGGGUCUUACCUGGGAUUCUCUGUCUCCUGCAACAUGAAGGGUUUAGCGUGGGAGGAGGUGGUGAGAACUCUGGGAGAGAAAAAAGGAAAGAAUAGUUUUACCCAUGCUGAAGUUAAACCUUCACCUAGAGAAGCAAAAAAAAAAACCACACUUCUCCAUUUUGUGCCUCCCUUCCUAGAGUUUAGCUCUUUGGCUAAACUUUUUAGCCAAAAACCUUUUUAGCCAAAGGUUUAGCUAAGUAAUUGGUUUUACCAAGGCACUCACUCCUCCUAUCCCGAGUCUAUUUGACUCCCUCCCCAUCAUCCCCCUCACCUCUUUUCAGGCAGGGUGGGAAUAGCAGCAGGAGGAGAUUUUGGGAGCCUGGCAACUCCUGCAAAGACCGCAGGACAGCCCCUCUGUGGGGAUGCAUGGUGCCCCAUCUGCUGCCCUUCUGAAGAAUGCACUGCCUUCACUACUGUGUUAGAGUCCAUCCAGACUGUUCUAUCCAAAAAAGAGUUUCUUUUUCCCCCACAGGCAAUCAGGAAAUGAUUCCUUUCCCGACUGCUUCUGUCUAGUGCCUGGGAAUCUUGAGUCAAUCCCUCAGUAAGUCAGUGACUAGGGAAAUCUACCCUCUCUGAACCUCCCAGUUCAUGUUGCUUAGGGAACCUGAUAUUUUCAUGAAACCUGCCUACACAUGGGCAGCCCAACAGCAGAGCAAAUGGUGGUGACCAAAGUGAACAAAGAAGUAUAGUUGUGCCAGCUUCCUAGUUGCCCAUGUGGACAAGUCAGCAGGAUCAGGACACAAGGAAGAGUAAACGUGAGACAGCAUGUGACUUCUGCGAUUAACAGAUUUUUAAACCCUGAAAUUUUGCUAAACUUUUGGUGAAACCUGAACUUUCUUCGUUGCAUAUACUGGCACUAUCUGUACCAUCAUACAACUGUCUCACAUUAAAGCUAUUUUUCUUGAGCA